UACGGGGGGGGCAAGCGUUGUUCGGAAUUACUGGGCGUAAAGGGCUCGUAGGCGGCCAACUAAGUCGGAGGUGAAAUCCCCAAGCUUAACUUGGGAACUGCAUCCGAUACUGGAUGGCUUGAAUCCGGGAGAGGGAUGCAGAAUUCCAGGUGUAGCGGUGAAAUGCGUAGAUAUCUGGAGGAAUACCGGUGGCGAAGGCGGCAUCCUGGACCGGCAUUGACGCUGAGGAGCGAAAGCUAGGGGAGCAAACGGG
rnacentral:rRNA from 1 species